GACGUAGGGCGCGAGCGUUGUCCGGAUUUAUUGGGCGUAAAGGGCUCGUAGGCGGUUUGUCGCGUCGGGAGUGAAAACCCAGGGCUUAACUCUGGGCUGGCUUCCGAUACGGGCAGACUAGAGGCAUGCAGGGGAGAACGGAAUUCCUGGUGUAGCGGUGAAAUGCGCAGAUAUCAGGAGGAACACCGGUGGCGAAGGCGGUUCUCUGGGCAUGUCCUGACGCUGAGGAGCGAAAGUGUGGGGAGCGAACAGG
rnacentral:rRNA from 1 species